rnacentral:rRNA from 1 species
GAUGAACGCUGGCGGCGUGCCUAAUACAUGCAAGUCGAGCGAACAGAUGAGGAGCUUGCUCCUCUGACGUUAGCGGCGGACGGGUGAGUAACACGUGGAUAACCUACCUAUAAGACUGGGAUAACUUCGGGAAACCGGAGCUAAUACCGGAUAAUAUAUUGAACCGCAUGGUUCAAUAGUGAAAGACGGUUUUGCUGGCACUUAUAGAUGGAUCCGCGCCGCAUUAGCUAGUUGGUAAGGUGACGGCUUACCAAGGCAACGAUGCGUAGCCGACCUGAGAGGGUGAUCGGCCACACUGGAACUGAGACACGGUCCAGACUCCUACGGGAGGCAGCAGUAGGGAAUCUUCCGCAAUGGGCGAAAGCCUGACGGAGCAACGCCGCGUGAGUGAUGAAGGUCUUCGGAUCGUAAAACUCUGUUAUUAGGGAAGAACAAAUGUGUAAGUAACUAUGCACGUCUUGACGGUACCUAAUCAGAAAGCCACGGCUAACUACGUG